rnacentral:rRNA from 1 species
UCGAUCAUACUAGCACUAAUGCUUCGGAUCCCAUCAGAACUCUGAAGUUAAGCGUGCUUGGGAGAGAGCGUUACUAGGAUGGGUGACCCCCUGGAAAGUCCUCGUGUUGCACCU